rnacentral:rRNA from 1 species
GACGAACGCUGGCGGCGUGCCUAAUACAUGCAAGUCGAGCGAAGUUUUUCUGGUGCUUGCCCUAGAAAAACUUAGCGGCGAACGGGUGAGUAACACGUAAAGAACCUGCCUCAUAGACUGGGACAACUAUUGGAAACGAUAGCUAAUACCGGAUAACAGUAUUUCUCGCAUGAGAGAUAUUUAAAAGUUGGUUAUGCUAACACUAUGAGAUGGCUUUGCGGUGCAUUAGCUAGUUGGUGGGGUAAAGGCCCACCAAGGCGACGAUGCAUAGCCGACCUGAGAGGGUGAUCGGCCACACUGGGACUGGGACACGGCCCAGACUCCUACGGGAGGCAGCAGUAGGGAAUCUUCCGCAAUGGGCGAAAGCCUGACGGAGCAACGCCGCGUGAGUGAAGAAGGAUUUCGGUUCGUAAAGCUCUGUUGUUAGGGAAGAAUGGAUAUGUAGUAACUAUACAUGUAAGAGACGGUACCUAACCAGAAAGCCACGGCUAACUACGUG